rnacentral:rRNA from 1 species
AUACGAAGGGUGCAAGCGUUACUCGGAAUUACUGGGCGUAAAGCGUGCGUAGGUGGUUGUUUAAGUCUGUCGUGAAAGCCCUGGGCUCAACCUGGGAAUGGCGAUGGAAACUGGGCGACUAGAGUGUGGCAGAGGGUAGUGGAAUUCCUGGUGUAGCAGUGAAAUGCGUAGAGAUCAGGAGGAACAUCCGUGGCGAAGGCGACUGCCUGGGCCAACACUGACACUGAGGCACGAAAGCGUGGGGAGCAAACAGAAUUAGAUACCCUGGUAGUCCACGCCCUAAACGAUGCGAACUGGAUGUUGGGUGCAAUUUGGCACGCAGUAUCGAAGCUAACGCGUUAAGUUCGCCGCCUGGGGAGUACGGUCGCAAGACUGAAACUCAAAUGAAUUGACGGGG